CUCCCCCAGAAGCAGUUUAAUGUCGUUCCCAGGCGUUCUGAGCCCGGCCAGCCCCCCCGGCCCCCUCAGCACAACGCUGGGGUUCAGCUGGGAGGCAAGAUGGAGACGAGGCGUCGUGUCCUAAAGGACCCGGGGUCAGGCUGAGCUGCCUCCUCGCCUCAGUACGCGUCGUGUGCCGCAAUGGCUCCCCAGCACCUGGGGUGCUGUGCCACCCUCGUGGGGUUGCGGGGGUCCUCUCAGCCUGGCGGGUUUCGGCGGGUGCUCCCCUUGUGCCGGGAGCAUCUGCUGCCAGGGCACAGCGAGGCACAAGGCGGUACGGCGGGGACCGUCGCGCUGCACCGGGGGCCCCAGACACCCGUGGGGACUCUUGUUUGUUACAGAGCUGCACUGAAGCUAUUUCAGGCAAGGGCAGGGCUGCAUCCUUCGGCCUUGUGGAAGUCGCCGCCACCACCACUGCAGCGUUCGCACCGUGGCUCGCAAGUGUUCAGAAACUAGCUAAACUCCAGUUUGGAUUUACGCUCUGGCAAACUAAUUCCUUAGCAGUCCCAACCUUGGACCAGUUUGUACUUCAGCAUUGGCAACUGGAAUUUUCUACUGACAUGGCAUGAAACUAAGUUAUAUUCUUAUAUCAAGGCAGAGGCAAUUACAGCUUCCCUGUAGUUCCAAAUAUAUUACUCUAUUCUAACCUAAA